AGUGAACGCUGGCGGUAGGCCUAACACAUGCAAGUCGAACGGCAGCACAGUAAGAGCUUGCUCUUACGGGUGGCGAGUGGCGGACGGGUGAGGAAUACAUCGGAAUCUACUUUUUCGUGGGGGAUAACGUAGGGAAACUUACGCUAAUACCGCAUACGACCUACGGGUGAAAGCAGGGGAUCUUCGGACCUUGCGCGAUUGAAUGAGCCGAUGUCGGAUUAGCUAGUUGGCGGGGUAAAGGCCCACCAAGGCGACGAUCCGUAGCUGGUCUGAGAGGAUGAUCAGCAACACUGGAACUGAGACACGGGCCAGACUACUACGGGAGGCAGCAGUGGGGAAUAUUGGACAAGGGGCGCAAGCCUGAUCCAGCCAUACCGCGUGGGUGAAGAAGGCCUUCGGGUUGGAAAGCCCUUUUGUUGGGAAAGAAAAGCAGCAGGUUAAUACCCCGCUGUUCUGACGGGACCCAAAGAAUAAGCACCGGCUAACUGCG
rnacentral:rRNA from 1 species